CCUACGGGUGGCUGCAGUGAGGAAUAUUGGUCAAUGGGCGUAAGCCUGAACCAGCCAAGUCGCGUGAGGGAUGAAUGUUCUAUGGAUUGUAAACCUCUUUUAUAAGGGAAUAAAGUGUGGGACGUGUCCUAUUUUGUAUGUACCUUAUGAAUAAGGAUCGGCUAACUCCGUGCCAGCAGCCGCGGUAAUACGGAGGAUCCGAGCGUUAUCCGGAUUUAUUGGGUUUAAAGGGUGCGUAGGCGGCCUUUUAAGUCAGCGGUGAAAGUUUGCGGCUCAACCGUAGAAUUGCCGUUGAGACUGGGAGUCUUGAGUAUGUUUGAGGCAGGCGGAAUGCGUGGUGUAGCGGUGAAAUGCUUAGAUAUCACGCAGAACUCCGAUUGCGAAGGCAGCCUGCUAAGCCAUGACUGACGCUGAUGCACGAAAGCGUGGGGAUCAAACAGGAUUAGAUACCCCAGUAGUC
rnacentral:rRNA from 1 species